GUUAAUUGUGAUAACUGUGGCAUUAUUAGCCAUCAGCUCAAAUAAAGCUUGUGCUGGAGACCCUGAUAUGCUUCAGGAUAUUUGUGUUGCUGAUCUCACCUCAAGUAAGUGAACUACUCCAAUAUUGGACAAACUAACUUUUGCAUUAUUUUUUUCCUAUGAACCUAUGGUUGCCUGAAAGUGAAACCUAGGAAUCUUGGGAACAGCAUGAGUGCAUUCUUCUUCUUUUUCUUUUUAAAUAUUUUUUUCUAAUAUUUACUUAAGCUGAAGAUCUUUUAGAAACAGUCUCGCCGUCUUUUCAAAAUAGGACGUAAAGUCUGUGUAUAUAUAUUACCUCCAGACCCCACCCAUGAGUUUAGUCUGAGCUUUUUGUUAUUGUUCUUUUUGUUCUUUUAUCAGGUUUAUGUACUACUCGUUUUGCCCUACCCCUUGACACUGACUUUUCUCCGUGAUCUAAUAAUUCUAAGUUCACUCUCUCUUUAAUUAUACCUACAUAUUUUCUAUUACUAGUAUAUUACAUUCCCCUUAUCCUAAAUCAUGAUGCCUCCUACUGCAAGCACAAUAAAACAAAUAGCUAGGUUAAUUAAAUUACACUGAUAUUAUAACCGAUCCUUAAAAUUAUAGGUGUAUAUAACUUAAUCCUUUCUAUUUUGCAUUUCUAUGGUUACUAUAUGACCCCUUGUAUUUGCUAUUUGUAACAGCCACGAAAGUGAAUGGAUUUGCAUGCAAACCCAUGUUUUCAGAGGCUGAUUUCUCGUCAAUGGUCAUUUCAAAGCCAGGAGCCACCACCAACACAUUUGGUUCCGUGGUCACUGGCGCCAAUGUUCAGAGUAUCCCUGGCCUUAACACACUUGGUGUGUCCCUUGCUCGUAUCGACUACGCUCCCGGUGGCAUUAACCCACCCCACGUCCACCCACGCGCCACCGAGAUAGUUUAUGUUUUAUAUGGUCAACUAUAUGUUGGCUUUAUCACAACAGCCAACGUCUUGGUCUCUAAGGUCAU
rnacentral:lncRNA from 1 species